UGAGGAAUAUUGGUCAAUGGGCGGGAGCCUGAACCAGCCAAGCCGCGUGAGGGAAGAAGGUACAGCGUAUCGUAAACCUCUUUUGUUCAGGGAACAAAAGGCGGGGAC
rnacentral:rRNA from 1 species